rnacentral:rRNA from 1 species
UACGUUCGUUGGGUAGGGGAGCGUUCUGUAAGCCUGUGAAGGUGUGUCGUGAGGCAUGCUGGAGGUAUCAGAAGUGCGAAUGCUGACAUAAGUAACGAUAAAGCGGGUGAAAAGCCCGCUCGCCGGAAGACCAAGGGUUCCUGUCCAACGUUAAUCGGGGCAGGGUGAGUCGACCCCUAAGGCGAGGCCGAAAGGCGUAGUCGAUGGGAAACGGGUUAAUAUUCCCGUACUUGGUGUUACUGCGAAGGGGGGACGGAGAAGGCUAUGUUGGCCGGGCGACGGUUGUCCCGGUUUAAGCGUGUAGGUGUGUGUUCCAGGUAAAUCCGGUUCACUUUAACACUGAGGCGUGACGACGAGGCACUACGGUGCUGAAGCAACAAAUGCCCUGCUUCCAGGAAAAGCCUCUAAGCAUCAGGUAACAUCAAAUCGUACCCCAAACCGACACAGGUGGUCAGGUAGAGAAUACCAAGGCGCUUGAGAGAACUCGGGUGAAGGAACUAGGCAAAAUGGUGCCGUAACUUCGGGAGAAGGCACGCUGACACGUAGGUGAAGUGAUUUACUCAUGGAGCUGAAGUCAGUCGAAGAUACCAGCUGGCUGCAACUGUUUAUUAAAAACACAGCACUGUGCAAACACGAAAGUGGACGUAUACGGUGUGACGCCUGCCCGGUGCCGGAAGGUUAAUUGAUGGGGUCAGCGCAAGCGAAGCUCCUGAUCGAAGCCCCGGUAAACGGCGGCCGUAACUAUAACGGUCCUAAGGUAGCGAAAUUCCUUGUCGGGUAAGUUCCGACCUGCACGAAUGGCGUAAUGAUGGCCAGGCUGUCUCCACCCGAGACUCAGUGAAAUUGAACUCGCUGUGAAGAUGCAGUGUACCCGCGGCAAGACGGAAAGACCCCGUGAACCUUUACUAUAGCUUGACACUGAACAUUGAGCCUUGAUGUGUAGGAUAGGUGGGAGGCUUUGAAGUGUGGACGCCAGUCUGCAUGGAGCCGACCUUGAAAUACCACCCUUUAAUGUUUGAUGUUCUAACGUGGACCCGUAAUCCGGGUUGCGGACAGUGUCUGGUGGGUAGUUUGACUGGGGCGGUCUCCUCCUAAAGAGUAACGGAGGAGCACGAAGGUUGGCUAAUCCUGGUCGGACAUCAGGAGGUUAGUGCAAUGGCAUAAGCCAGCUUGACUGCGAGCGUGACGGCGCGAGCAGGUGCGAAAGCAGGUCAUAGUGAUCCGGUGGUUCUGAAUGGAAGGGCCAUCGCUCAACGGAUAAAAGGUACUCCGGGGAUAACAGGCUGAUACCGCCCAAGAGUUCAUAUCGACGGCGGUGUUUGGCACCUCGAUGUCGGCUCAUCACAUCCUGGGGCUGAAGUAGGUCCCAAGGGUAUGGCUGUUCGCCAUUUAAAGUGGUACGCGAGCUGGGUUUAGAACGUCGUGAGACAGUUCGGUCCCUAUCUGCCGUGGGCGCUGGAGAACUGAGGGGGGCUGCUCCUAGUACGAGAGGACCGGAGUGGACGCAUCACUGGUGUUCGGGUUGUCAUGCCAAUGGCACUGCCCGGUAGCUAAAUGCGGAAGAGAUAAGUGCUGAAAGCAUCUAAGCACGAAACUUGCCCCGA